rnacentral:ncRNA from 1 species
CCGUCACAACGGCUUCCUCGGCGUGGCGGUUCAAUCCCAAUGGAGCA